GAUGAAGAACGCAGCGAAACGCGAUAGGUAAUGUGAAUUGCAGAAUUCCGUGAAUCAUCGAAUCUUUGAACGCACAUUGCGCCCCUUGGUAUCCCGAGGGGCAUGCCUGUUCGAGCGUCAUUUCACCACUCAAGCCUGGCUUGGUGUUGGGCGACGUCCCCUUUGGGGACGCGCCUCGAAACGCUCGGCGGCGUGGCACCGGCUUUAAGCGUAGCAGAAUCUUUCGCUUUGGAAGUCGGGGCCCCGUCUGCCGGAAGACCUACUCGCAAGGUUGACCUCGGAUCAGGCAGGGAUACCCGCUGAACUUAAGCAUAUCAAUAAGCGGAGGA
rnacentral:misc_RNA from 1 species